UACGUAGGUGGCAAGCGUUGUUCGGAAUUAUUGGGCGUAAAGGGUGCGUAGGCGGCGCGGUAAGUCGGGUGUGAAAUCUCGGAGCUUAACUCCGAAACUGCAUUCGAUACUGCCAUGACUUGAGUCCGGUAGGGGAGUGUGGAAUUCCCGGUGUAGCGGUGAAAUGCGCAGAUAUCGGGAGGAACACCCGUAGCGAAGGCGGCACUCUGGGCCGUGACUGACGCUGAGGAGCGAAAGCGUGGGGAGCAAACAGG
rnacentral:rRNA from 1 species